GUGCCAGCAGCCGCGGUAAGACGUAGGGUGCAAGCGUUGUCCGGAUUUACUGGGCGUAAAGAGCGCGUAGGCGGUCUGUUAAGUGAGAAGUGAAAGCUCCGGGCUCAACUCGGAAAUGGCUUUUCAUACUGGCAGACUGGAGUGAUGCAGAGGUUUGUGGAAUUCCUGGUGUAGCGGUGAAAUGCGUUGAUAUCAGGAGGAACACCCAUGGCGAAGGCAGCAAACUGGGCAUUAACUGACGCUGAGGCGCGAAAGCGUGGGUAGCAAACAGGAUUAGAUACCCUGGUAGUCC
rnacentral:rRNA from 1 species